CAGGAAGCCGCUUUUUUUGGUGCUGCAAACCACUGCAGGUAAACGGGAAUCUGGUGUAAAACCAGAGCUGCCCCCGCAACGGUAAACAACUGAUCUGAACCCAAAGCCACUGUCACAAGAUGGGAAGGCGGGUGCAGGCGCAAGCAGGUUGUCAGCCCGGAGACCGGCCAGAAAAAUUCCUUAACU
rnacentral:ncRNA from 2 species